rnacentral:piRNA from 1 species
UAACUCUUCUUUCCUUUGCAUUUUAGGAGGA